rnacentral:rRNA from 1 species
GAUGAACGCUAGCUACAGGCUUAACACAUGCAAGUCGAGGGACCGGCGCACGGGUGAGUAACACGUAUCCAACCUGCCCUUUACUCGGGGAUAGCCUUUCGAAAGAAGGAUUAAUACCCGAUGUAAAGGAUGGGGAUGCGUUCCAUUAGGUUGUUGGUGAGGUAACGGCUAACCAAGCCUUCGAUGGAUAGGGGUUCUGAGAGGAAGGUCCCCAACAUUGGAACUGAGAAACGGUCCAAACUCCUACGGGAGGCAGCAGGGAGGAAUAUUGGUCAAUGGGCGUUAGCAUGAACCAGCCAAGUAGCGUGAAGGAUGAAGGCUUAUGGGUCGUAAACUUCUUUUAUAUAAGAAUAUGUAUUAUAUGAAUAAGGAUCGGCUAACUACGGGCCAGCAGCCGCGGUAAUUC